CAUUUAAGCCCUUAAAACAUGAAAAGAAAGUGGUCUCUUGGGAGAACAAGAAGAAAGAAUGGAGUCAGAGAUAUUACAUCUUUCCAUUUCAACAGCCAGGCAUGGAGGAGAGCGAUGUUUUGGGAUUGAGUCACUUACAUGAAGGAGGAGAGAAGGAAAUGAGUCAUCACAGUCUGUGAAACAGAAAGAAAAGAAAGAAAAGGAACCAAGGAAUAACAAGGCUCAUGAGGACAGCUGCCCUCCCUGCUGCCUUGCUAAUUCAACUGAGCAUGACCCCUUCACAUCCCAAAGACACACAGACAUCUACUCAUUAUAUGAGUCAUGGUCUUCUCCUGAUGCCAAGAAAGAACUUCAUAAGGAGAAGCAGCAAAGGAACAAGACAGCUUGAGCCAGACGACUCAUUACACCAAGAGCACAUAAGACACACAGAUCAAAGAGAAUCUCAACCUCUUCCAGUCCUUUCUACAAUACUCUCUUGCUUUGUGAAAGUUAACUCCUUUGGCUUUCUGAAGGAUUCUUCAGUAGACGAUUUAUUCAAAGAAAAAUGGGUAUGUUUCCAAAACAAAGAUACGGAGAUAAGGACACUUCAAAUAAGAUGGAGCCCAGGGGCAACUCAAACCUUAUCCCACACCUACUUGUAUUCUGCACGGGAAUAAAAACGUGGGCAAAGACAAGAAGUUCAUCAAAGGACAACAUUGACCUUGAAUUUCUACCAAAGAAGAUGAUCAGGCUUCAAAACCUGAAGAAAUUUCACAAUCUUAGAGCCAUAGCUAUUUUUUUUUUUUUUUUUGGAAAUUAAGGAUUUCAACUCGAAAAGAGGAAAGAGCUUAUCAUUGUGGUAGAAGCUAAGUAAAUGUAUUUUUCACAUUUAAAGUUCAUGAGUGAGACUUUUGUCAAAUCAACGUACGUCUCAAUGAAGAAUCACAGGAGAAAUGUGAAGAGAAACAAGGAAAAAAAUUUUUUUAAAGUAUAUGUUUUCUGACAUAAGGGCAAACAAAAUACAAAUGAUUGUUUCAUAUAAGAAGAAAAAGGAAACAAUGAAAAUGAAGCCUCUUUACUGUGACUGUAAAGCUGAAAAAGACAAAUUUGGGGAUAGUGAAGAAUAAAGAAGAGUGAUGGAAU